AGAGAACGGUUGACAACAACACAUCCCCGAGGGCUGCACACCCAGAGCUAAUCUGUGCAGCUCAUCCCAAGGCUGUACAGAACUGCCUGAGGAACACCAGUCAGUGAAAGCAAAACAGCUAGCAUGCAGCUUAUUUAUAACAGCAACCAACACCAGGGAAAUGGUGCUUGGGGGAGGGUGGAGCUAUCAAUCAGGGUUCCUGUAUAACAGGGUGGAUGUUUAGUCUUCCAGACCUCUCUGUUGAUGCUGCAAGUUGGCAUCACAAUAAGAUGGGCUGCCCAUAACCUCUGUUAGUGGAGCAGCAGGUGGUCAUAAAGCUUUAUAUCCUAGGGAAAUUAUGUUAUACAUGGAACUGGAAGCACUUUAUAUGUGCUGCAGCAGUGAAUUACACAAACAGUGGUCAGCAAAACCAGCAUGGUUAAUAAUUUUGGUGCAAUAGGUACACAUCACUAUGUUGUAUGGACAUACAGGAGAGCUUUCCAUGGUGAAGGUACUUGGAAGGAGGAGGGGACCCCUGGGCUUAAAAAUAAUAGGAUUUAGAUAAAGGAGGAAGUACAUCUUAAAAAGGCUUUGGACAUGAUUCUUGACACCAGUACUUCUAAGUGAGAGAGGGGGUGUUUUAUACCUGCAGUAAAUCGGCAUUGCAGAGCUGCAGGUGACAGCACACCACAGGGCAUGACAAGGGAGGGCUGGAAGGCGUGUGAAUUGCCUUGGGUCUAAGACAGCUGUCUAACUUCUGGGGAGUUACCUGCUUAAAGUGACUCCAAGGAUUUUAAACCAGCAUAAAAACGAGACUGAAUUAAGGGACACUAACACAGUAUAUUUGCUCAAGUUGUAUUACUUAAGCUCAAGGUUACAGUGAUGCAAAGAACCAAAGCAGUGAGGGGUUUAAAGAAAAGCAGUCCUUUAAGAACCUUUUUACCAACACAAGAACCUUGGGUCAUAAACAAGAGUAAUUACACAUUCCCCUUCAUGAAAAGGAACUGGAUACUAUUAGUAUUAUUGAGAGCUAGUAGCAAGACCAAGAUAGCUGGAGUGCCCAAAUCACUGGCCAUAGCCUCUGCAGGAAAAUUAAAUUGGGCAGCAGGCUUUCAGUUCUUGUGGUAGCCUGGGAGAAGCUCUCUGCAUUCAAGAUGCUGUCUGUACCCUGGAGUCAUCUAUUUCUCAAGUGGAAGAGCUCCUGCAUGUUGAUGGUAACAGGCCUCCAUACGGAAGGGCUAAGAGGCAGUGGUUGAAUGGAGGAGAAAGAGUGAGGGAGAAAGACCUUUGCAGGUCACCAGGAGCAUCUCUUCAUAAUUUGAGUGAGAUAAGCAGAGGGAAUAAGCAGUUGUUAAAACUGCUUUCAUGUGAGUUUCUAAAAAUGUUAUGUAGCUUUCCAAGAAUGAAAGAAAAAUCGCUAUUAAAUAUUAUUAGGUAACACUCAUAUUAGGCCUUACUUUGUUGUGUAAGGGAACUUGAUUGCUGUGCAAGAAAGCAAACAGUAUUGAUGAAACAUGAGAGAUCAAACCCAGCUGCAUUUACUGAUUGUAACUGGAAGACAGAUAUAUCCAGCAAUUUCUCUCACUUGCUUUUUCUCUUCUCUAAAAAGGGAUAAUUCUCAAAAGACAAACUGAUAAUGAGAAAAAUUGAAACAUCAGUCUACAACUGAUAAUAGAAAACUCUUGAAGAAAGAUUUAUUAAAUUUCAAGCCCCUGAAAUUCAACAAUCAGGGAAAAACAGGUUACAGCCUGCUGCAGAUUAGAAGUGAGAGCAGCAAUUAUAUGAGAAAACAGAUAUGUUUACACAUUCAUACACGUUACCAUAUAGGAAAUGGGAAUGUGAGGCUCUUAAAUCCUACAGAAAAUUCAGAAAAUAGAUAAAAGAGGCUAAAGAAAGUACUGAACAGUCUAAAUCUCUUUGUUUUUAAGGGAUUCCUUAAAUGUAUGAGAAACAGAUGAGACCUUAGCCUUGGUGCAUGAAAAGUCGUAGACAAGCAUGAUAAAAUUAGUCCUGACACUGAGUUUUUUUUUUUUUUCUUUUUUUUUCCUCCUAAUGGUAUUGUUUGGAGCUGUGAUGGUGUAAAGAUUUAGAACAUCUCUUGAGACCACAGGAUGGGUAUCCUCUGGAAAGAAGUGUUUGCUGCUCAGGUGAAAUGCUUAUUUGAGAAGAAGAAGAAAGAGCAACAAAAUGACAUAUUUGCAGCAGUAGGUGACAGAAAAUAUAUCAAGAUGAAUGUCUGCCUUUUUGCUGCAAGCAAAUCUUUUCUGUCAAACUUCUAUAAGGGUUCACCCAUGUGUGCAGCAGCGUCUCAAACUUUUCACCUGGUAUUAAAUAUAUCCUAACUCCUGUCAUCAUCAAGAGCACAGAUGGCAGAAAUGAAAUCUGGGGAUCUUUUACAUAUCACAGGAGAAACUACAACACUGGUCAUGGUGAGCUGACUCAGCCUGAUUGCAGCUCUUGUUUUUCUGUGCACUUUGCAGAUGCUGUUGACAUCAAGAGUGAAGUGAAUUCACUUGUGGAUGAAACAAGUUAUGUUUCACCUUUCUGGGCUGAGGUCCGUGCCUCCCUCCAAGGGCCUAGCAGGGCUGGCCAUAGGUCAGGGCCAGCUAUGUGGGCACCACCUUAUGUCCCCUCUGACCCUCCCAUGUUGAAGUUGAAUAAGUCCUGGGGUGGUCCUGGGCUCUUCCCAGGCCCACAGGAGACAUUUGGUACCUUAACAUUUUUACAUAGGUGAGUUACAACAUCGCCAUCAUACCACACUCUUUUUAAUACUUCUUCUGGUACUUUCUAUCAUAAAACUUAUGAUUGCAACAUGGACAGCAGAAGUGGAGGCACUGCAAACCUUCCCUUGCAUGCCUCAUCCUCUCCCCUGUGAGUUAUGUUCCUUGGACAGGGAGCAGAUGAGCAAUACAGGCAAGGUCAUGAGGUGUAGGAGUGGAAGGAUUCAGCCUUGCCUGUCCCUACCUGCCAGCACCCUUGCAUUUUUAUCAUGCUUUUCUGAGAUAAGCUUUCUGCUGUUGUCCUUAAGGAAGGAGUGUUUCUCAGUAUAGGCAUGAUGUAAUGCUGCCUUUUAUAAUCCUGGAGGAAAACAGGCAUUACCAUCUGUACUUCAAUAACAUCUAUGCAGUUAAAUAACACUCUGCAGCUGUGUGUGGGAGUGCUCUGCCAUGCCACUCUUGGAGUCAUUCAUUUUUCAGGCACAGCAACUUCAGGGAGGAGGACUGACCACAGUACUGACCUUGGGUUGGGGGAGCAGCCAAAGACAGAGCCGUGCCAAAGACUGCUUUGCCCGCUGUGUGGGGGCUGAUCCAGGAGAAAUUGAUUCCUUGGCUCUUCUGCAGCAGGAGAGAGCUGUUUUCCCUUGAAGCCUGUGCUUGCUUUGGGGUGUUUCAGACAUUGCCCGUGGAUGAAGGAGGGCACUCCUUUCCACCACCUCCAGUUUUCCUGGUUACAAGAUUUGCUGAAUUCCCUUUGGUAAAGCAUCUGAUUUCUAGACCCUUCAAAAGUUUUCAGGCAUUCGGAUACUUCAGUCAGCUCCUGCUGCACAGGCCUGGUUUUCAUGUCCUCCUCUGAGCCUCCAACAUGAAAGCUUAUUUUAUUGCUAAAAAAACAAGCCCAGAAUUUAUUAGUAUUUUUAUUAUUUUGCUAUUAUAAAGCGAGUGCCAUGAAAGCACCUCACAAUAAAUUCCUGUGAGAUGUGAUGGCCUGAACCUGAUCAAAGAUUUUAGGGAAGCACAGCUCUAAGCGAGCGAUUCUAGUCAGUGCAUACGUGUGAAGUCGUGUCCACAGGCACCAUACUCCCAGAGGAGCACAGCAACAUUCUGCACACCAGCCUGGGAGGGAGAUGGGAUGCUAUAGAAAGGGAUUUUUUUUUUCUUUUUUUAAUGUCAUACCUACCAACUUUCCAGCUUUGCAAGUUUGGAAAUGCUAUGACACAAUAAGCAUAUUUUCCUGAUGUAAGUUUUUAUUUUUAUUUUUUUUUUUAUUUUUUUUUAUUUUUUUAUUUUGAAAAUUAACUGUAUUUUUCUAAUUGAACUGGUUAUUAAAAAUAAAUCUUCCUGACCAUUCAUAGAACCUUGCUUUCCAAGAAAUACAAAGAAGUCAGAGGUCAAAAAGGAUCUUUGACCUGAGCAGCUGCUGACUGGGUUUUACUUCACAACAAUCAUUAAAGUGUCAGGACCUAAUGCCUCUGUAGAAAACUUUAUGCUGUUUGCCCAAAAUGACUCAGAGGUGAAGAGAAGCUUGAAUGAACA